UCUGGCCCCGGCCCUCUCUGCAACAACGCGGCCCUUGCUGAGGUCAUAAAUGAUCACAGCCUGCGAAAUCAAGUACUGAGCUGACUUGGCCUCUCCACUGGCUACCCUCUCUUGAAUGUCUCUCCCUCGGUUUUCAGGAAACCUCCCCACUACCUCUUACCUCUGUGGUUGCUCCUUCUCCCUUUCAAACUCCUCUUCCUCUGCCUAUCUCUUCCAUGCUGUCAUUUCCAAAGCUCUUCCUCUACUCUUUUCUCAUUCUAGCCUACUGUACCCAUCCAGUGGGUUUGCCUAUCACCCACAGAUUAAUGCUUCCUUCACUGACAUUUGUGAUUUCUGUAGCUGUUCAGCAUCUUCCUUUACUGCACUGGUACAUUUUCCAUGGUCAUCCCUCCUGGAUUCGGAAAGGGCCAGAUACUAGUUUUACUUAGCCCCACUAACAGCUGGGGUGCUAGCCCAUUACCCAGACUUCUCCAGAUUUACCCGCCUGAGGCAGAGCCUCCUCAAGCUGAUGCCACAAGGAAGCAAAGAAGUUGAAUAAUUUGUCCUGGGGGACCACAGCAGUACUGCAGCAGGGCCUCAUCCCGUGGAUGGCCCACAGGCACCUCCCAAAGGAAUAAAAGAUGCAGUUCACCAUCUUGCUUGCAACGCCCCUCAGCUGGCUGUACUAUAUUCCCACGCUGACUCCCAAGUUCUUCAGCUUUGGGACUCGGACUGGCUUCCUUGCUCCUCAGCUUGCCCACAACCUAUUGGACCUUGUGAUUGGCAUUCUCCAUCCCUAGACAAAGCACUGUAUGAAUCCUAUGCAGAUGUGCAGGAAGGCAGGGAAAAGCAAAGAUCAGCUGGUAGCAACGUGGUUUUGUCUAUUCAAUCCUUCUAUCAAUAAACACCCAUUCCAAAAGAAGCAGAGUGCUCCAACAAAAAUUGUGUUUUGAAGAUUGUAAACAGCAACAUGAAAAAAGUGCUGCCGUUGCCGUGACAAGUAAACAAAAGGAAACAAAGCUGUUGUGUGCAACAAGAUUACAACUAAAAAAAUAUACAAAGGAAAAUGAGAAGGCAAAUACCAAAAUAUUAACAGCAAUGUUAGGAUGAGUAGAAUAUCAGACACUUUCCUUUUGCCUGACUCUCCAAAAUGGUUCCCAACCUGUGAGAAUAUUAAAGAUGUUCAGAACG